rnacentral:rRNA from 12 species
CGGAGGACCGAACCCACUGUCGUUGAAAAGCCAGGGGAUGACUUGUGGAUCGGAGUGAAAGGCUAAUCAAGCCCGGAGAUAGCUGGUUCUCCCCGAAAGCUAUUUAGGUAGCGCCUCGGACGAAUACCACAGGGGGUAGAGCACUGUUUCGGCUAGGGGGUCAUCCCGACUUACCAACCCGAUGCAAACUCCGAAUACCUGUGAGUACUAUCCGGGAGACA